GGAGUUAGCCGGUGCUUCUUCUGUGAGUGAUGUCCUUCCUGCCGGCUAUUAACCCGCAGGCCUUCUUCCUCACUGAAAGUGCUUUACAACCCGAAGGCCUUCUUCACACACGCGGCAUGGCUGGAUCAGGGUUGCCCCCAUUGUCCAAUAUUCCCCACUGCUGCCUCCCGUAGGAGUCUGGGCCGUGUCUCAGUCCCAGUGUGGCUGAUCAUCCUCUCAGACCAGCUACGGAUCGUCGCCUUGGUGAGCCGUUACCUCACCAACCAGCUAAUCCGACAUAGGCUCAUCCGAUAGCGCGAGGCCCGAAGGUCCCCCGCUUUCCCCCGUAGGGCGUAUGCGGUAUUAGCCUGGGUUUCCCCCAGGGUUAUCCCCCACUACCGGGGCAGAUUCCUAUGCAUUACUCACCCGUCCGCCGCUCGCCACCAGGGAGCAAGCUCCCCGUGCUGCCGCUCGACUUGCAUGUGUAGCUCGCCGCCACGCGUCAUCUGAGCANAGACACUACUACGUACGUACGUACGACGGCGGUCGGCGACGGACGGCGACGUA
rnacentral:rRNA from 1 species